rnacentral:misc_RNA from 1 species
GAAAUGCGAUAAGUAGUGUGAAUUGCAGAAUUCCGUGAAUCAUCGAAUCUUUGAACGCACCUUGCGCUCUCCGGUACUCCGGGGAGCAUACCUGUUUGAGUGUCAGUAAAACACAAUCACAAUCUUAACUUUUGUCUGCAAGGGUUAGGGUAUGUGGAAAUGGGUUCCACUGUUCCGUUUCGAGUCCCGAAUUGACAGUGUUACCUAAAAUUGAUUGACUGGCCCGGCUGGAUGGGAAUGCCGCUUGUGGUCAAAAGGUGUUUGUAAGUCAGGCCUGGUUUUGGUCAGACAUUAUUUCGCCGAUAGAUCCAACAAGCAUUGCGCUUCCGAUCUGUAAGAUCCGAGCAUCAGUCCUUUACCGAGAUUACCCCGACGGGGUAAUCUAUUCAUGAGAACAUGACCUCAAAUCAGGUAAGACUACCCGCUGAACUUAA